GGUCCUGUAACUCAGCCUGGGAGAGUGCCUUUCUUACAAAAAGGUGGCCGUAGGUUCGAAUCCUACCGGGACCAUCA
rnacentral:tRNA from 1 species